AGUGAACGCUGGCGGUAGGCCUAACACAUGCAAGUCGAACGGCAGCACAGUAAGAGCUUGCUCUUACGGGUGGCGAGUGGCGGACGGGUGAGGAAUACAUCGGAAUCUACUUUUUCGUGGGGGAUAACGUAGGGAAACUUACGCUAAUACCGCAUACGACCUACGGGUGAAAGCAGGGGAUCUUCGGACCUUGCGCGAUUGAAUGAGCCGAUGUCGGAUUAGCUGGUUGGCGGGGUAAAGGCCCACCAAGGCGACGAUCCGUAGCUGGUCUGAGAGGAUGAUCAGCCACACUGGAACUGAGACACGGUCCAGACUCCUACGGGAGGCAGCAGUGGGGAAUAUUGGACAAUGGGCGCAAGCCUGAUCCAGCCAUACCGCGUGGGUGAAGAAGGACUUCGGGUUGUAAAGCCCUUUUGUUGGGAAAGAAAAGCAGCAGGUUAAUACCCCGCUGUUCUGACGGUACCCAAAGAAUAAGCACCGGCUAACUUCGUG
rnacentral:rRNA from 1 species